AAUUGAUCAAACGCCUACAUGCAAUUAUUCCUUGAUGGGAACUUGUGACAUCAUGCCAAGUGAUGCUAAAGUUAACCGAUCUACAGCACCAGAUGACAUACAGCCAACACAACAGUGUCUAGUUCAUUGUCAAAAGAAAUGUUUCUGUGCCUCCUUUGUUAAAAAGAUCUAGCAAUGUGACGAGAGAGGCCUUAAAGUACAAAGAGCGCUCUUCAACUGUGUCUGCUGAAUAACUGCGUCUGUGCAAUCACUACUGGCAGCUGAGAUGAGGUGUAGAAUGUUGACAAAAAGCUCACAUCCAGGCCGCAAGUUGGUAAGGACAGACUGGAGCUACUGUUGCCUUUCUCAUUUUUUUUUCUUUGUCUCCUGUACAUCUCCCAUGAACAUUUGCUCGAGGUUAUCCUGUCAAGCUACUGUUUGCUGCAUGAAAAGGACACAUCUGCUGCUCAAGAUCUGCUACGUCAUUCUGCUCCACAAGAUGAGACUUUGUUGGGGUAGUUACGUAAAGCGAUCGUGUUGGUGAGUUUUACAUUUGUUUGUGCCUACACCAUUCAAGCAUACCACGGAUUCAACCAGAUUCGUCAAUCCUCAGACAUGAUCAGAACGCCACUUUGGUAAGUUUAAAGUACACGUAGCAUUCUGCACAUGCUGAAGUGUUCACAGAACGCAGGAGCAGACUGUUCUUACUGCCUGUGAUCAUGGAAAGAAAAAAUAUUUAAGUAUUGGCUUUUUUUAACAGUGUUUAUGCAAUAUUUUUGUGAAUAAUUAUGUAUAUUGUUGUUAUGCAUAGUUUUUGUGUUUAUUAUGUGUAGUAUGGUAACCAUGCACACAUUUAA